UUUAAAACACGUUUAUUUGCAUAUAUUGUAGGAUUAUUUGCUAUAACUGGACAUCCUAACUUAAACUUAUUUCGUAAGAAUAAUAAAUAUUAAUUCCAUUUCCCAGCAUUUAAGUUUAAAAAAUGUAGAACCAACAUUAAUUUAAAAAAAUGCUAGCUUUAGGACCCGGUGCUGCUUGGCGUGUUUCCUUUACUACUUCUGCUUCAGCCUGUCGUGCUGCCUAGUAUAGAUUAGGGAGCUGAAUGUGAGAAGAAAGUAACAAACGAGAAAAUGCUGAAUGAAAGACAAUUGAAAUACCCUGUAAGAUUCACGGUAAACGUGAUUACACAUAAAGGGAUUUCUCGCUUUUUGUCAUUCAUGCGGGCUCGUCCACGGUAACCUCGCGCGCUCUGUGCACCCUUGCUUAGCACUCACUGAACACUAGUUUUCAUCUACUCGCUGUUUCUUCGUCUGAACUUUCCUGUAUUUUUUCAUCCUCGAGAGCAGUACACGGUGGCAAGUCCCCCAUUUCAGCCAUGAGGGAGCUGGCGAACAAUGCUCAUGGGUUACUCAUCUGGUUCAGUUUGACGGUGCUUUGGCAGAUGGGCUCCAAAGCAGAUGACAGCACGACUGACGCAUUUAAAAACAACAUCACCCUCUUCACGAAAAUCCUCGACAGCCUCCUGGAUGGUUACGAUAAUCGGCUUAGGCCUGGACUGGGAGGUGAGAC